rnacentral:rRNA from 1 species
GCUUAACACAUGCAAGUCGAGCGGGCGUAGCAAUACGUCAGCGGCAGACGGGUGAGUAACGCGUGGGAACGUACCUUUUGGUUCGGAACAACACAGGGAAACUUGUGCUAAUACCGGAUAAGCCCUUACGGGGAAAGAUUUAUCGCCGAAAGAUCGGCCCGCGUCUGAUUAGCUAGUUGGUAGGGUAAUGGCCUACCAAGGCGACGAUCAGUAGCUGGUCUGAGAGGAUGAUCAGCCACAUUGGGACUGAGACACGGCCCAAACUCCUACGGGAGGCAGCAGUGGGGAAUAUUGGACAAUGGGGGCAACCCUGAUCCAGCCAUGCCGCGUGAGUGAUGAAGGCCCUAGGGUUGUAAAGCUCUUUUGUGCGGGAAGAUAAUGACGGUACCGCAAGAAUAAGCCCCGGCUAACUUCGUGCCAGCAGCCGCGGUAAUACGAAGGGGGCUAGCGUUGCUCGGAAUCACUGGGCGUAAAGGGUGUGUAGGCGGGUCUUUAAGUCAGGGGUGAAAUCCUGGAGCUCAACUCCAGAACUGCCUUUGAUACUGAAGAUCUUGAGUUCGGGAGAGGUGAGUGGAACUGCGAGUGUAGAGGUGAAAUUCGUAGAUAUUCGCAAGAACACCAGUGGCGAAGGCGGCUCACUGGCCCGAUACUGACGCUGAGG